rnacentral:misc_RNA from 1 species
UUAUAAAAUUAAAUUGAAAUUCAACGAGUUUUAUAAAAGAAAUUAAAAAAAUUUACUCGUAAAGUUGAGUAGCUGCAUAUGGUGAGUACCCGAUGACUGGGAGUUUGGUAGUGCUCUAAAGAAAAAAUCCUUCAAUCCCUCUUCCAGAUAUUGUUUCCCUGUAGAUGGUAAGUGCUUCCUCCAUAACGUUAGCUUGAGCCAGCAGCUGAGAUCUCUUCUUUCCAGAUGGAUGAGUAGAUAGAUAAUCUCUCAGUGCUGAAUCACCAGUGACCUUCCCCAAUUUCUCAUACACUCUAGGUGCAACUCGAGGAUCAUAUCCAGCAGAAGCCAUCAACAAUAGACCAAUGUAAUCUGCCUCUAUUUCCAUCCUCCGGGAGAAAGGAAGUCUCAGGAAUAGAGUUGACAUUGUGUUGACAACGUCAGGCAUAACAAACUGAUAAAGAAUAAGUUGCAAGAUGGCAAACCACAAAUUCUUGGUGAUCCCUUCUGCUGCAUGUCUUGCCACAGCAUGCCCAACCUCAUGCCCAAUAAUGGUUGCGAUCUCUGCAUCAGUUUUAAAGUGAUCAAACAACCCUGUAAACACAACAAUCUUCCCACCAGGCAAACAGAAAGCAUUAACAACAGGUUCAUCAACAACCAAAACCUCCCAAUUCAAUCCAUCCAAAUGCGAAGUUUCUGCUCUUGAUCCUCUCUCUUUCUUUCUACUCUGUUGAACCCAACUAUCAUCAAGGAUCUCAUCUUCUUUAUGCCAUUUUGUCUCAACAUUCCCUUCGGUCUCAAUCAAUGCCCUCAACGUCUCGUGUGUGCUUCCCUCAUGUGCUAUAUCGCUGUCCGACGAAGCAUACCCCAAAUCGCUCCACACUCGCUCCUGGCUUAACCCCCUUUGCAAAGCCUCAAUUAUGUCUUUUGAAAUUAAACGAACCCUCACGCUCUCUGGGUGUAUUGCGGGCAGAAUUUUGCCUUUAAAUGCCGCUUUCAUUUGCUCGAACUGGUUCUCACCGAUCUUUCUCUCUAAAGUUUUAGACAAAAGCACAAAAUGUUUUCGUUUUGUGUAAGGUACGGUCUCCAAAUUACCGAAAUAGACAGUGAUGAAAACACCAGAACCCACCAAAACGAUAAUCAACAAGCUUCUUGGAUUCUGAAACCAUCGUCUCGGGCCUCUGGGCUUAAAAUGGUAAACCUGAUACCUAUCUACAUAAUAAAAUCUCUGAGCACCACCAAGAAAUGGAUUUAGAUGUAAUCUCCUCGUACCCAUUUGGAAACCUAGUCCUAAUCUACGAAAAACAGAAGAAUUUGGAUAGAACCCAGAAAAUUUAGAUGGAUUUGAGGAAGAAAGUGAAGAACCAUUUGGGUGGAAUCUCGAAGUUGACUCUUGAACUGAAGGUCUGGAAAUAAACUUGGAAGCCAAGCUUCGAAAGGCACCGAUGGCAAGCUUAGCUUUCCUGCAGGUUUCCAUGAUUGCAAAAGCUAGAUUGGAACCAGUUCCGGUUAAAGAGCGAAGGAAUCGACUAGAAACGGUGGGUAUGAAGUAGUAUCAUGUGAUUGGUCAGAAGGAAGAAUCGGUGAGCAUUGUCGGCACCAGGCCCUCGCACGGUUCUAGAGCUUCGAACCGAAUUAAGGAUUCG